rnacentral:lncRNA from 1 species
GUAUAUUUUCAGGAAUCCUGUUGUAGUUUGUGAGUGUUGUUCAUUAGUCACACAUUAGUGUAGAGUGGAUGCAUGAUGCCCCAUGACCCCAGCAAUUCUUACCAGUGAGUAGGUACCCAGCACCGUCUCUCACCCGUAGCCCUCUUCAGCAUUGCCCUGUGGCCUGUUGCAUUCUAGUUAGUGUGCAUCGUGUUUUACUGAUCUCUUGGGUGCUUCUUGUAAACCACAGGAAGCACAUUUGUCUUAGUCGCACAAAAGAUGAAAGAGAUAAAGGGCAUUGAAGCAGAAAUGUGUGGUUUGGGGUAAGAUAGGAAAACUUGUGUCCAAGUUAAUUUCAAAGUAACUGCUCUUAGGCAGAGUGCUCUUAAGGGGAGUCUAGUAAGCAACUUUCUGGGCACUUCUGGUUUCGAUUCUCUUCGUUACUGAAACUCCUGAGAACUAUUACCUGUGGAUUAGUUUUGCACAAUGUCCUAUUCUCACAGUGACUUAAAAUUAGACUAGGUUUUUAAUUGAACUACCUCACACCGAUUUUCUAUGCUUUCCCAAGUAAGCUGUUGCCCUUACUGUUAGACCUUUACUCAGUGUAAAUUUUAAAUGUGCGUUGAAUACUUUAUAGCCACUGUUGACAAAAUACCAGUAAGUGUGUGAAGUGCAAGCCUUGCAUCAGUAAGAGACAGUCCCGUGCAGUCUUCCACUGCGUCUGGGGAAUUGUGCUGCAUAUGCUUAUUGACAUCAUCACUGUUUUGUAAGAAACCUGCUCAAGAUAUCAGUCCACGCUUUACAUUUUACAAAAGGAGGAAAUCUUAGUAAAUUUUACGAAGAAAUAAAUUACUUUUGUAGGCCCAAUAUUUGGUAUAUUUUUGAGAAGCUGUUAAUCUUAUAGCCGAAUGAUGAAGUUAAACUGAAGUAGCUGUCUGCCUGGACUGUGACGUCUAUUUUCUCAUUACGUUUUACCCUGUUAAUAAGGUUUUAAACCUCAAAACAUAGGAUAAUAAUUAGAUUUUUUUUCUCUCUCCCUGUGUGUGUCAUUCCUUCUUCCUCCCUCCUCUUCCCUGUGCUCUCCUCUCUUCUCUCUAGACAAAACAAAAUGGGGCACUUUGUAGGGAAUGCUGAGAUCAUUAUUGUGGUUUACUCGUUCAUGCCCUAGUCAUUAAACAUGCACCACUGGAUGUAAACAGUGUUAUCUAGUAUGUCAAUUGGUUAUAAUAUUUUAAAUAAAAAAGAAAAAGUGGUAUG